rnacentral:tRNA from 1 species
GCCGCCGUAGCUCAGCCCGGGAGAGCGCCCGGCUGAAGACCGGGUUGUCCGGGGUUCAAGUCCCCGCGGCGGCACUA